UACGGAGGGGGCUAGCGUUGUUCGGAAUUACUGGGCGUAAAGGGUUCGUAGGUGGCCAACUAAGUCAGACGUGAAAUCCCUCAGCUCAACUGGGGAACUGCGUCUGAUACUGGUCGGCUUGAGUGCAGGAGAGGAACGCGGAAUUCCAGGUGUAGCGGUGAAAUGCGUAGAUAUCUGGAGGAACACCGGUGGCGAAGGCGGCGUUCUGGACUGCAACUGACACUGAGGAACGAAAGCCAGGGGAGCAAACGGG
rnacentral:rRNA from 1 species